rnacentral:pre_miRNA from 1 species
UCUGGUCGCCGGAUCCGGCCAUCUGGUCGCCAGAUCCGGCGGUCCGGCCGCCGGAUCCGGCGAUCCGG